rnacentral:rRNA from 1 species
GAUGAACGCUGGCGGCGUGCCUAAUACAUGCAAGUCGAGCGAACAGACGAGGAGCUUGCUCCUCUGACGUUAGCGGCGGACGGGUGAGUAACACGUGGAUAACCUACCUAUAAGACUGGGAUAACUUCGGGAAACCGGAGCUAAUACCGGAUAACAUGUUGAACCGCAUGGUUCAACAGUGAAAGACGGUCUUGCGGUCACUUAUAGAUGGAUCCGCGCCGCAUUAGCUAGUUGGUAAGGUAACGGCUUACCAAGGCAACGAUGCGUAGCCGACCUGAGAGGGUGAUCGGCCACACUGGAACUGAGACACGGUCCAGACUCCUACGGGAGGCAGCAGUAGGGAAUCUUCCGCAAUGGGCGAAAGCCUGACGGAGCAACGCCGCGUGAGUGAAGAAGGUCUUCGGAUCGUAAAACUCUGUUAUUAGGGAAGAACAAAUGUGUAAGUAACUAUGCACGCCUUGACGGUACCUAAUCAGAAAGCCACGGCUAACUACGUG